rnacentral:rRNA from 1 species
UACGUAGGGGGCAAGCGUUGUCCGGAUUCAUUGGGCGUAAAGAGCGUGUCGGCGGCCAGGUAGGUCGGUUGUGAAAACUGGAGGCUCAACCUUCAGAGGUCGACCGAAACCAUCUGGCUAGAGUCCGGGAGAGGAGAGUGGAAUUCCUGGUGUAGCGGUGAAAUGCGCAGAUAUCAGGAAGAACACCCGUGGCGAAAGCGGCUCUCUGGAACGGUACUGACGCUGAGACGCGAAAGCGUGGGGAGCGAACAGG